rnacentral:rRNA from 1 species
UAGGGAAUCUUCCGCAAUGGGCGAAAGCCUGACGGAGCAACGCCGCGUGAGUGAUGAAGGUCUUCGGAUCGUAAAACUCUGUUAUUAGGGAAGAACAAAUGUGUAAGUAACUAUGCACGUCUUGACGGUACCUAAUCAGAAAGCCACGGCUAACUACGUGCCAGCAGCCGCGGUAAUACGUAGGUGGCAAGCGUUAUCCGGAAUUAUUGGGCGUAAAGCGCGCGUAGGCGGUUUUUUAAGUCUGAUGUAAAAGCCCACGGCUCAACCGUGGAGGGUCAUUAGAAACUGGAAAACUUGAGUGCAGGAGAGGAAAGUGGAAUUCCAUGUGUAGCGGUGAAAGGCGCAGAGAUAUGGGGGAACACCAGUGGCGAAGGCGACUUUCUGGUCUGUAACUGACGCUGAUGUGCGAAAGCGUGGGGAUCAAACAGG